AUCGGUAAAAUCGGAUCGAACCGGACUGGAAACCGAUAAAACCGGAGUAUCGGUUUAGGAGGGUAAUCGGUGCAUAAUCGGUUUUGAAAAAUACAAAACCGGUGCAUACCUGUUCGGUCCUAAAUUUUGUCUAAAAUCGGACCAAACCGGACCGGUUACACCCCUAAAGGGUAGUAAUAUCUCGAAGCCAAGGCCAACAACUAAAAUAGAUUAUAAGGCGAAAGUAAAUGCAACAUUGAACAAGAAUGACAAAUGGUUAGUAACCACUGUUGAAAAUAUGUACAACCACAUAACUGUUAGCCCUAAGAAGACAAGACUUUUGCAAUUUCACAAGUGUCUAGAUAAAUACAGUCAAAGGAUCCUUGAGCUCAAUGAUAGAGCUGGUAUAUGAAUACAGUCAAAGGAUUCUAUGUAGGCAUGCACUUAGAGUUUGUCAGUUGAAAAAAAUUAAUGUGUUGCCAGAUCGUUACAUCUUGGAUCGUUGGAGAAAUGACUUAAAGAUGAUAUACACAUUACUCAGAAGUAGUUACGAUGACCAGCAAGCUAGAUUUGACGCAAGGAAUUAUGAGCUUGUGGUUAAAAGACGUUCGCAAUUAGCAACCAAAAUAUCCUUAGAUAAUAAAAAAGUCAAUACAUUCCUGUGUAUUGUUAAUGAGUUUGACGCAAAAUGUGAAAGUUCAACUCCACCAAAGUUGACUUUUGAACAAAUGAAGGGAAAACUAAAUGUAGUCUUGGAGAAGGGUAAGAAGAUAUUAAGCCCCAACGUGAUCCGAGGGAAAUAGAGACCCCCAAAUAAGAGGAAGGUUCUCCCGUGGAAAAGAUGGCAACAAAGAGGAAGAAACCUUUAAUAAUUGUCGAAAUUUGCAAUGUUAAUACUUAAUAUGACGAUUCUAAUAUAUGCCUAUUUUUGUUUUGAAACUUAAACUUACAGGAAAAUCUUGGUAGAUGAGCCACAAUUGGGUGACACCCUGGGAUUUCAACAGGACCAAUUUGAUGAUGGGGUUAGUUUUGGAAUGCAAAACAGUAUUCUUACACAAUCAACUCCACCAGGAAAUGAGAUUAACUGUGUCUUUUCAAUAAGUGAUGACCAAAGAUGAAUACAUGAAGUUCCUUUCUGAACAACUUAAUCAAAUAUAAAGGCUUCUUCUUUUGGCAUCCCUUUGCAGAGCCUUUUUGAAGCUAAAGGUAUUGCUGGUAAUAAUGUAUUAUUGUGUCCUAGGAUUUAUUUUUGAGAUUUAUUUUUGGUUGGCUUGCUUUUAAAGCUAGAGGGGAAGGCCCCAUUUGCAAGGUUCGUUUAUUUUUAUUUUGCUCAACUGAGAGGAAUGUUGUCAAUCCCAAGAUAAUGUAAACGCAACUACUUGAGAGUUUCCAUUUCUUUAUGUAA